AAUGAACGCUGGCGGCAGGCCUAACACAUGCAAGUCGAACGGAUCCUUCGGGAGUAGUGGCGGACGGGUGAGUAACGUGUGGGAACCUACCCAAAGGUACGGAAUAGCCUCGGGAAACUGGGCGUAAUACCGUACGUGCCCGAAAGAGGAAAGAUUUAUCGCCUUUGGAUUGGCCCGCGUUGGAUUGGGUAGUUGGUGGGGUAAUGGCCUACCAAGCCGACGAUCCAUAGCUGGUUCUAAGGGAUGAGCAGCCACACUGGGACUGAGACACGGCCCAGACUCCGACGGGAGGCAGCAGAGGGGGAUCUUAGACAAUGGGGGAAACCCUGAUCUAGCCAUGCCGCGUGAUCGAUGAAGGCCUUAGGGUUGUAAAGAUCUUUCAGGUGGGAAGAUAAUGAGUGUACCACCAGAAGAAGCCCCGGCUAACUCCGUGCCAGCAGCCGCCGUAA
rnacentral:rRNA from 1 species